GUGUGAAGUUGCUAAAAUGGCGGACGCUCAAUCAGUAGCACAGGGAGGGUGUACAGAGCCAAGCAGCACUGCAUAUGAAAGGACACGCUGUACUGGCAAACAAGUCUGGAUUUUCACUUCAGCUCUUCUGACUUUGCUCAAGGAAGGAAUGGCACUGCCCCACAGAUA